CCCAGGUCAAACGAAGAUGAGAGUUGGUAAAAGUUGUAACUCUCGUUUACAUACAGACAUAAACACGGAUUUUCUGGGGGUGCAGAGAGUGCGCACCUCCAAAACAUUUUGCACUCCCUCAGAAAGCUUUCCCAUCCUACCUAGAGAAUUUUGCACCCCCAAUCACUGAAUUUAAAUGCUCAUUGACUUAAAUAAUAGUAGUAUGAUUUAAAGUAAGUAUUUUAAACUAAAUAAGACCAAAAAUCUUUCCUGGGGGCUACCAACAAUCAUGUCCUCACUAGACACAAUACUCCCAAACUCCAUUCUCGUACCCAGAGCCUUUCUUACGCGCAGUCAGCGACGAGGGGCUCUGGCAAAAUCCAAACCGGAUACUAUAAAAACAUGAUAUCCGGUUAUACACUGCGCAUGCUCAAUAAGAGUUGAGCAUGCGCAGUGUAUAACUGGAUACCAUGUUUUUAUAGUAUCCGGGUUGGAUUUUGCCAGAGCCCUUCGUCGCUGACUGCGCGUAAGAAGGGGUCUGGGUACGAGAAUGUCCCAACUCGUGCCUCGCUCAUCUCCCCCCCCCCCCGAAUUCUCGACACCCCCAGAGCCAAAUCUGAGAAUUCGUUGCAACUCGUCUUCCUAUUUUACCGGGCCAUGCCUAUACUCCUUAUGCAAAUAUUAAUCGAUAUACUGUACAUAUGUAUUGAUAACCGGUAUACGAAGACAGGUUAUUUUGGACAGGAGGGCGAAGCUAUUUCCAGGAUUAAGGUUCUGUACCCAAGAGUAAAUUUCUAAAAUAUCCCAAAAAUAAUGGUCGUAUUUAUUAUACUAGAACACGUGUUAGGUAUCUAGACGAAUUAAACGUUUUGUGCUAAGCAGUGGCGUAACUCCUUUAGGCGCCGCUUGGCUAAAAAAAUGGCGAAACUGAUGGCUCAAAAAAUGGUGAAACUGAUGAAUUUCAGGAAAUUUUGCAUGUUCUUGACGUAGCCCCCGCCCACACUCGCUACUUUAAACGGGUAGGACCUUUACCACAAGUUACACCACUGGUGCUACGUGCGAAUAAUAUAAAUACGAGCUGAACUGUUGACCAUAUCACCAAGAACGUAAUCGCAAAAAUACGGUAUAGAGUAUUUGGAUUUGGGACAUUCGUCUGAGUGGCUCUUUCUUAAGUGCGUCUAAAUUUGCUCGUCACGUAUUUAUAGUAGACGGUUAAACGUCUAAGACGAUAAAGACGUUUGUUAAAUACGUCAUUUAGACGCAUCUAAUAGACAACGUUAAUUUUUACGAAGUGACCAGAUAGCCAUGCAGCGAAUAUUUAUUUUUCCACCUGAUAUUUAUUUUGUAAUAAUGUAAAUUUUUUGCAGUUGCAUUCUGCGAUGUUUUUCAAUUUCUGCACGUAAAUGCUCA